rnacentral:tRNA from 1 species
GGAAAGAUGCCGGAGUGGACGAACGGACCGCACUCGAAAUGCGGCGUACGGGUAACUGUACCGGGGGUUCGAAUCCCUCUCUUUCCG